GAUGAACGCUGGCGGCGUGCCUAAUACAUGCAAGUCGAGCGAACGGACGAGAAGCUUGCUUCUCUGAUGUUAGCGGCGGACGGGUGAGUAACACGUGGAUAACCUACCUAUAAGACUGGGAUAACUUCGGGAAACCGGAGCUAAUACCGGAUGAUAUUUUGAACCGCAUGGUUCAAAAGUGAAAGACGGUCUUGCUGUCACUUAUAGAUGGAUCCGCGCUGCAUUAGCUAGUUGGUAAGGUAACGGCUUACCAAGGCAACGAUGCAUAGCCGACCUGAGAGGGUGAUCGGCCAAACUGGAACUGAGACACGGUACAGACUCCUACGGGAGGCAGCAGUAGGGAAUCUUCCGCAAUGGGCGAAAGCCUGACGGAGCAACGCCGCGUGAGUGAUGAAGGUCUUCGGAUCGUAAAACUCUGUUAUUAGGGAAGAACAUAUGUGUAAGUAACUGUGCACAUCUUGACGGUACCUAAUCAGAAAGCCACGGCUAACUACGUG
rnacentral:rRNA from 1 species